CCUUUCUUGAUUUAUUUGAAUGAACUUUCUAUCUUUGUAUCCAAUAAUAAUAAUAAAAAGUCUCUCCUUCGUAUUAAAACAUAACAAAAAUAUUCUCUCUCUGUUCUCUUUCACUGUCUCAAGCACUCAUCUCUCAGUACUCACACCGUCUCAAGCUCUCUCUCUCUCUCUCUCUCACUCACGCCAAAUCGGUGAAAAAUUGGGACCUCACACUGUCGGGGUCUGUGGUCACCGGACCCUAGGAUUGGGACCACUCUCCAAUCUGAAAAGGCUCUCUCUCCGACGAACCUAUCUCUCGCUGGAACGCUUUGCAAGCUCUCGAGGUGUGUUCUUUUUUUCUUUUUUGGGGUCAUUUUUGUUAAAUCCUAAUUUCUUAUAUUAAACGUAUGUUUUGUUUUGGUUGUGCUUCUGUAAAUCCAAAUUUCUCCAACCUGGUUGUGCUUCUCUGAUUGUCUUGGCUGAUUGUUUGGUUGCCGAGGAAAAACAGGAAAAUGGAUGUGUGUUGAGAAAUAGUGGGAGCCAACAACUAAGUGAGGUGAGAAAUAAUAGGUGCCAUUAGUAAUUUAGUUUAUUUCCUAUUGUUUUUUUAACGCUAGAAUUUGGUACUUGCUACUGUUGUUAUUAUCUUUUAUUUAUUGUAAUGUUAGAGUUUGUUUUUAAUUGUUAAUAGUCCUAAUUGGCUGGGGAGCUGAGUCGUUAUAGUCAUGGUUUUCAGACUCGGACCGGACAGUACAGUUCGACUGUAUUAACCGUGACCCUCUCACCAAUCCAGUUCUUUAAACCCUAAAAACCGUACUAUACAUAAAAAGCAUGAAACCGUUCGAACCGCGGUUGAAUCGGCCGGGUCUAAAAACCGUUCAUGGUUUUCAUGGUUCAGAUCAAAGCAAUAAAAAAAAUUGUUGAACCUCCACCUUGCAUGUCUCUCUAUUACUCUUUGCAUUUUUCUUUUUCCACUCUCAGAUCUUCCAUUUCGUGUCUCUCCAUAAAGUUUGGAUCUUUUUUCUCAAGUGAUAGAGAAGAGAGGACAACAUGAGAUAGAGAAAAUGAAAGAAGUUGUUGACCCAAAAAAAAAGGAGAAGAAGGAAGAAAAGAACAAAAAUUCACAAGCACACGGCGGAGGAUGCUCAAGUGAAGAGAAGAAUAGAAAGCACUGCAUCUAAAACUUUCAAAGAAAGAAGUGUAGUUUUGAACUGUAAAAUGCCAACUUUGAAGCACUUUGCGUGGAGGAGGUGUUGCCAACACAUUCUUGGAAGUUGAGCACUUCCAUUUUAUAUUAAUACUCUUUACUUUUAUUUAUUUGCUUUAUUGGUUUGUCCACCCACCAAAACAAGAGACUCCAAGUGCUGUGCUAGUUAGUGUUCUGUCGAAGAAGAAUGAAGGCUUCAGGUGUAUCAUCACAUCAAUUCACAACUAAUGUCUAAUGGGCUAUUUAUGUUGGGCACAAAGAACCUAACAAUUACAACAACUUUGGUUUUCUUUUAAGUUAA